UGUUUCGGCUAGGGGGCCAUCCCGGCUUACCAACCCGAUGCAAACUGCGAAUACCGGAGAAUGUUAUCACGGGAGACACACGGCGGGUGCUAACGUCCGUCGUGAAGAGGGAAACAACCCAGACCGCCAGCUAAGGUCCCAAAGUCAUGGUUAAGUGGGAAACGAUGUGGGAAGGCCCAGACAGCCAGGAUGUUGGCUUAGAAGCAGCCAUCAUUUAAAGAAAGCGUAAUAGCUCACUGGUCGAGUCGGCCUGCGCGGAAGAUGUAACGGGGCUAAACCAUGCACCGAAGCUGCGGCAGCGACACUGUGUGUUGUUGGGUAGGGGAGCGUUCUGUAAGCCUGUGAAGGUGGCCUGUGAGGGUUGCUGGAGGUAUCAGAAGUGCGAAUGCUGACAUAAGUAACGAUAAAGCGGGUGAAAAGCCCGCUCGCCGGAAGACCAAGGGUUCCUGUCCAACGUUAAUCGGGGCAGGGUGAGUCGACCCCUAAGGCGAGGCCGAAAGGCGUAGUCGAUGGGAAACGGGUUAAUAUUCCCGUACUUGGUGUUACUGCGAAGGGGGGACGGAGAAGGCUAUGUUGGCCGGGCGACGGUUGUCCCGGUUUAAGCGUGUA
rnacentral:rRNA from 1 species